GAUGAACGCUGGCGGCGUGCUUAACACAUGCAAGUCGAACGAGAAGUGGAGACGGACACCUUCGGGCGGAAGACUUUAUUUCGAGUGGCGGACGGGUGAGUAACGCGUGGGUAACCUGCCUCAUACAGGGGGAUAACAGUUUGAAACGACUGUUAAUACCGCAUAAGACCACAGCACCGCAUGGUGCGGGGGUAAAAACUCCGGCGGUAUGAGAUGGACCCGCGUUCGAUUAGCCAGUUGGCGGGGUAACGGCCCACCAAAGCGACGAUCGAUAGCCGAUCUGAGAGGAUGACCGGCCACAUUGGGACUGAGACACGGCCCAAACUCCUACGGGAGGCAGCAGUGGGGAAUAUUGCACAAUGGGGGAAACCCUGAUGCAGCGACGCCGCGUGAGUGAAGAAGUAUUUCGGUAUGUAAAGCUCUAUCAGCAGGGAAGAAAAUGACGGUACCUGAGUAAGAAGCCCCGGCUAACUACGUG
rnacentral:rRNA from 1 species